CUACUACUCCUUCCGUUCUGAAUUACUUGUCGCAGAAAUGGAUGUAUCUAGAACUAAAAUACGUCUAGAUGCAUCCAUUUCUGCGACAAGUAAUUCCGAACAAAGGAAGUACAUG
rfam:Triticum urartu cultivar G1812 contig1230070, whole genome shotgun sequence.